UACGAAGGGGGCUAGCGUUGCUCGGAAUCACUGGGCGUAAAGCGCUCGUAGGCGGGUUCUUAAGUCAGGGGUGAAAUCCUGGAGCUCAACUCCAGAACUGCCUUUGAUACUGGGAAUCUCGAGUCCGGGAGAGGUGAGUGGAACUGCGAGUGUAGAGGUGAAAUUCGUAGAUAUUCGCAAGAACACCAGUGGCGAAGGCGGCUCACUGGCCCGGUACUGACGCUGAGGUGCGAAAGCGUGGGGAGCAAACAGG
rnacentral:rRNA from 1 species